GGGCGCGUAGUUCAGUGGUAGAACGCUGCUCUUAUAAAGCAGAAGUCGAAGGUUCGAUCCCUUCCGCGCCC
rnacentral:tRNA from 1 species